ACGGCAGCACGGGUGCUUGCACCUGGUGGCGAGUGGCGAACGGGUGAGUAAUGCGUCGGAACGUACCGAGUAAUGGGGGAUAACGCAGCGAAAGUUGUGCUAAUACCGCAUACGCCCUGAGGGGGAAAGUGGGGGACCGCAAGGCCUCACGUUAUUCGAGCGGCCGACGUCUGAUUAGCUAGUUGGUGGGGUAAAGGCCUACCAAGGCGACGAUCAGUAGCGGGUCUGAGAGGAUGAUCCGCCACACUGGGACUGAGACACGGCCCAGACUCCUACGGGAGGCAGCAGUGGGGAAUUUUGGACAAUGGGGGCAACCCUGAUCCAGCCAUUCCGCGUGAGUGAAGAAGGCCUUCGGGUUGUAAAGCUCUUUCAGCUGGAACGAAACGGUACGCGCUAACAUCGUGUGCUAAUGACGGUACCGGCAGAAGAAGCACCGGCUAACUACGUGCCAGCAGCCGCGGUAAUACGUAGGGUGCGAGCGUUAAUCGGAAUUACUGGGCGUAAAGCGUGCGCAGGCGGAUUGUUAAGCAAGACGUGAAAUCCCCGGGCUUAACCUGGGAAUGGCGUUUUGAACUGGCAGUCUAGAGUGCGUCAGAGGGGGGUGGAAUUCCACGUGUAGCAGUGAAAUGCGUAGAGAUGUGGAGGAACACCGAUGGCGAAGGCAGCCCCCUGGGAUGACACUGACGCUCAUG
rnacentral:rRNA from 1 species